rfam:Picea glauca, whole genome shotgun sequence.
ACAUGCCUACAUCAUAAUGUUAAUGCAUCGGAUCCCAUUAGAACUUUGCAGUUAAGCAUACUUAGGCUAGAAUAGUAUUGGGAUGGGUGAUCGUUGAGGAAGUCCUAGUAAUUUACAUGCC